rnacentral:rRNA from 1 species
ACGAGUAUCCCUUUACUUGUAUAUGGUUUUAGACCUUUACUGUGAGAAAAUUAGAGUGUUCAAAGCAGGCAUUUGCUUGAAUAUAUUAGCAUGGAAUAAUCAUGUAUGAUUUUCAUGAUGUAUUUGAUUGGUUUGGUUCAUGAGAAUAAGAUUAAAAGGGACAGUUGGGGGUAUUCAUAUUCAAUAGUCAGAGGUGAAAUUCUCGGAUUUAUGGAAGAUGAACAAGUGCGAAAGCAUUUACCAAGGAUGUUUUCAUUAAUCAAGAACGAAAGUUAGGGGAUCGAAGAGGAUUAGAUACCCUCGUAGUCUUAACUAUAAACGAUACCGACUAGAGGUUAGUGAAGGUCAUUGUGUCUUGACUAGUAUCUUAUGAGAAAUCAAAGUCUUUGGGUUCCGGGGGGAGUAUGGUCGC